rnacentral:misc_RNA from 1 species
AACGCACAUUGCGCCCGUUAGUAUUCUGACGGGCAUGCCUGUCCGAGCGUCAUUUCAACCCUUAAGCACCGCUUAGUGUUGGCGGAUUACGGGGCCCUUCGGGGCGCCAUAACCGCCCAAAUACAGUGGCGGCCCCGCCGCGGCUCCCCUUGCGUAGUAACUCACCUCGCACCGGGCCCGGGCGGCGGCUCUGCCGUAAAACAUUUCUUUUACAAGAACAAAAGGUUGACCUCGGAUCAGGUAGGAAUACCCGCUGAACUUAA